rnacentral:rRNA from 1 species
AGAGUUUGAUCAUGGCUCAGAUUGAACGCUGGCGGCAGGCCUAACACAUGCAAGUCGAGCGGUAGCACAGAGAGCUUGCUCUCGGGUGACGAGCGGCGGACGGGUGAGUAAUGUCUGGGAAACUGCCUGAUGGAGGGGGAUAACUACUGGAAACGGUAGCUAAUACCGCAUAACGUCGCAAGACCAAAGUGGGGGACCUUCGGGCCUCAUGCCAUCAGAUGUGCCCAGAUGGGAUUAGCUAGUAGGUGGGGUAACGGCUCACCUAGGCGACGAUCCCUAGCUGGUCUGAGAGGAUGACCAGCCACACUGGAACUGAGACACGGUCCAGACUCCUACGGGAGGCAGCAGUGGGGAAUAUUGCACAAUGGGCGCAAGCCUGAUGCAGCCAUGCCGCGUGUGUGAAGAAGGCCUUCGGGUUGUAAAGCACUUUCAGCGGGGAGGAAGGCGGUGAGGUUAAUAACCUCAUCGAUUGACGUUACCCGCAGAAGAAGCACCGGCUAACUCCGUGCCAGCAGCCGCGGUAAUACGGAGGGUGCAAGCGUUAAUCGGAAUUACUGGGCGUAAAGCGCACGCAGGCGGUCUGUCAAGUCGGAUGUGAAAUCCCCGGGCUCAACCUGGGAACUGCAUUCGAAACUGGCAGGCUAGAGUCUUGUAGAGGGGGGUAGAAUUCCAGGUGUAGCGGUGAAAUGCGUAGAGAUCUGGAGGAAUACCGGUGGCGAAGGCGGCCCCCUGGACAAAGACUGACGCUCAGGUGCGAAAGCGUGGGGAGCAAACAGGAUUAGAUACCCUGGUAGUCCACGCUGUAAACGAUGUCGAUUUGGAGGUUGUGCCCUUGAGGCGUGGCUUCCGGAGCUAACGCGUUAAAUCGACCGCCUGGGGAGUACGGCCGCAAGGUUAAAACUCAAAUGAAUUGACGGGGGCCCGCACAAGCGGUGGA